UGCUCCAUAAUCUUCCCCGGCACCGAGGUCAGGCUAACAGGUCUGUAGUUCCCCGGAUCCUCCCUGCAGCCCUUCUUGUAGAUGGGAGUCACAUUGGCAAGCCUCCAGUCUUCUGGGACCUCACCCGUCAACAAGGAGCGCUGAUAGAUGAUGAAGGAGCUCUGUGUCCUUGCAGUGGCAGGGCUGUAAGCAGGUAUCACGGUGGAGCUGUCACAGCAUGGGCAAGUACAGGAGAAGGAAGGAGAAGUGAAUGCCUAUGACAGGGAGCCUGGUUGCUUUUGACAAGAAGGAAAACAUAGAUCUCCCAAUUAACAGUGCAGUUGAAGAACGAUUACCCAGAAUGUCUGCCAUAGCCUUGCAUAAUAUUCACAGCAUCACAUAAUGGCAGAAGUGGAAAGGGACACGUGGAUCCAUCUGGCCCAACUCCUGUUCAAGCAGAGGCAUCCAGGAGUCCAUACGCCCAAGCCUCUGUUACUGAUGCCUUGAUGUCCUGAUGUGUCGACAGCACAUGGGUGACAAAAUGUGGUUAAAACAAAGUAAUGGGUACAUAUUUAAUACUGCAUAUUGUUGUUCCAGGUAUCACCUAAAAUCUUCCUGCAUAUAAAUGACUCUUUUUCAGAAAUGCAAAUGGAUUGAAUCUUACAGCUGUACUGAGGCAGCUCCAGGCUUGGCAACUAAAUUAAGUUACACAAAUGCAAAUAAGCAGUGAAUGACAUCCAGCAGAUCUGACUGACCUCAUUUUCUCAUCUGCAUGACCACGAAGUGAAAGCAACCUACAGAAAUUACUAGAUUUAUGGUUGGGAAAAAAAACACAGUGCAGGUAAACAACAGAUGUGACUCAGCUGGAAAACCCACUUUUAAGUUCCUGCAUAUAUUCUUGACGAUUUUCACAAUACAACUGGAUGGUGAGUGCCUCAGGUACUGGGGCAGUGACAUUGCAAUUAAAAUGUCUCACUAUGGUCCCUAUGACAGAAAUUUGAACUUCAAACAAUGUUUGCCCUAAGGCGGUCCCCAGGAGGGCUGGCUGCCAAAGGAUGUCUGCUCAAUGUGGUGAGGGGAUACACAGCAACCUUAUCCUACUAAACAUUCGGGUAUGGACCCUUACCAUGCUGUGCUGCAUUCCUCAGCAUGGAAGAAGCUUUGACCUCCAUGAGAAAUGGGAGGAACCUGGGAUCUGCAUAAAACCAUAGGAAUGGCUAGCAGAAAAACAGGUGUUCUGUUACUGCUAUUUAAGCUUUUCAUGAAGCAAACACUGUAUGAGAGGGCUUUAACCUUGUACAACUCACACAGCCUUUAAUUGGAGCACAGUGGGAAAGGCACCUGCCUGCAGCACCUGUCUGUCUUGUCCAUAAGCACCUCCCUCAUAUCAGAACAGUUUCAGUUGUCUCCUAGAAGUGUAUCAUUUUGUUGAGCGAUAAAUGGAACUGUGAAAUAUUGCCUGUAAUCAGCACCCUUUAUGGCAAAGCUCAUUAAAUUCCUGACAAGUCUAGAGUUGACAGCACUUUAAUUUUGCUUUAUUGCCUCAUUUUAUCUCACCAAUUUCUUUCCCUGAUUUACUGUUAAUAAUGAAAGACAGCAGAAAUGCACUGUGUUUGAGAAUCAAAAAAAUAAGUAUUCAUCCUUUUUAAAAAUCCCUGAUUUAGGCCAUAGGAACAGUGAGUAGUAGACAAUGCAAGCAUUGAGAAGGUGAUUAAACUUUAAUAAAACUGUCAACUGAAAUAAACCAAUCUCCUUACAAAA